GUAGCAGAGAACAAAGCUUAAAGUAUCGAAGGCUUGCUCGACAAUCGUCAUCACGUUUCUUCACAUUUAAAAUUUCUUCAUUGUUGGCCAUUGUCCAGCUGCGCUGCUAAUUUCCGGAUCUUGCAGCGGGAAUAUCUCGUCAUUAGCUGGAUUCAAUCGUCUUCAUUUGAGUAAAAACAUUGUAAAGAUCACUACAUUGGUGGCCGCUAUUCACUUAGGCAACUGCAGAUGCCGGCAACAAGAAAUUCGAGUCAUAAGAACUGGGUCUUUCUACAACAAAUUGUUGUUUUCGAAGUUUUUAUACUUUGAUUAAUUAUUAUAGAAAGGGAUCUCCUGGUUUGAAUGACUCGAAGAUUAUUGUCAGUAGCCGGAUUCAAUUGUCUACGCUAAA